rnacentral:rRNA from 1 species
GACGAACGCUGGCGGCGUGCUUAACACAUGCAAGUCGAACGGAAAGGCCCUGCUUUUGUGGGGUGCUCGAGUGGCGAACGGGUGAGUACCACGUGGGUAACCUCCCCUUGACUUUGGGAUAACUUCAGGAAACUGGGGCUAAUACCGGAUAGGACCUCCUGCUGCAUGUUGGGGGUGGGAAAGUUUCGGCGGUUGGGGGUGGACUCGCGGCUAUUCAGCUUGUUGGUGGGGUGGUGGCUUACCAAGGCUUUGACGGGUAGCCGGCCUGAGAGGGUGACCGGGCACAUUGGGACUGAGAUACGGCCCAGACUCCUACGGGAGGCAGCAGUGGGGAAUAUUGCACAAUGGGCGGAAGCCUGAUGCAGCAACGCCGCGUGCGGGAUGACGGCCUUCGGGUUGUAAACCGCUUUCGCCUGUGACGAAGCGUGAGUGACGGUAAUGGGUAAAGAAGCACCGGCUAACUACGUG